GACAGAGGGUGCAAACGUUGUUCGGAAUUACUGGGCGUAAAGCGCGUGUAGGCGGCCAAGCAGGUCGGAUGUGAAAUCCCUCGGCUCAACCAAGGAAGUGCAUUCGAAACCGCAUGGCUGGAGUCCCGGAGAGGAAGGUGGAAUUCUCGGUGUAGAGGUGAAAUUCGUAGAUAUCGAGAGGAACACCGGCGGCGAAAGCGGCCUUCUGGACGAGGACUGACGCUGAGACGCGAAACGUGGGGAGCAAACAGG
rnacentral:rRNA from 1 species